rnacentral:sRNA from 1 species
AUAACCCUCUGUUGCAGAAUAGACUGAUGCUACAGAAGUCUCUCUAGAGUUUGGAAAUCUUUACCAAAAAGAAAAAUUCUGAUGUAUUCUCUUUCAGUUGAACGUCCUCAGAUGACUUUCGGCAGGCUCCAGAGAAUCUUGCCAAAGAUCAUGCCCAAGAAGUCAGCAGAGGAAGGAAAUGAUUCAAAGGGAGUGCCAGAAGCAUCUGGCCCACAGAACGAUGGGAAACAGCUGUACCCCCCAGGAAAUCCAAGUACCUCUGAGAAGAUUAACAAGACAUCUG